UCCUUGUUUUUUCCGCCUAUAUACCACCGUCGUCAGCUUACCCUAUGAAGGACUUAUAGUAAGCAAGAUUGGCACAGCCCAAAACGUCAGGUCGAGGUGUAGCGUAUGGAAAGGGAAGAAAUGGGCUACAUUCCCUAAUACAGUGAAAUACGAACGAUACACUGAAAUACGUAUCUGAAGGAGGAUUUAGCAGUAAGCAGAAAAUAGAGCGUUCCGCUGAAACUGGCCCUGAAGCGCGCACACACCGCCCGUCACUCUCCCCAAGCUUAAUAACCCUUAGUACCUAAAACCUAAAAACUGCAAAGGGGAGGCAAGUCGUAACAUGGUAAGUGUACCGGAAGGUGCACUUGGAAAAAU
rnacentral:rRNA from 1 species